UUCUGGGUCGUGAUCUGUAGAGUCCCUUUAAAGGGACUCUACAGAUCACGACCCAGAAACAGGUUACGCUAAAUGGAAGAUGCUAUAUAAGGGACUCUACAGAUCACGACCCAAAAACAGGUUACGCUAAAUGGAAGACACUAUUGUUCUCUGCUUUGAUUUUCUGAGUUCUGUAUAAAGUUUUGGUGGAGGCGGUCAAAACGAACAAAAAGUGGAAGAGGCAAUUAAGGCUGACAUGACGAAUACCUACACAUGUAUUAAUAGUUGUAUAAUCACACUCUGUCCUGCCUGGGGGUUGGGAUGGCAUGUUCCUCCCUUCUCCCUUGUUGUUUACCUGCAACAAUAAACUAUCAAUCAAUGUACUGCAAGUAGAAUGUGCAUGGAUUUAACCCUAUAUGAUAAUAACAGUGGCUUAGAAAAAACACAGUGCUGAUGACAACAUGGGUGAAAAUACAAAAAAAGGCUAAAGAUUAUGUUGACAAUUAAGUGGCUAUUUGGAAAUUUUUACAAUGAAAGAUCAUGAAUAAAAGACUUAAGCUAAAGCAUUUUCCUUAUUAUUUUUCCUUUUCAAAAUGGCAACAUGUAAUGUAAAUGCAGUAUUCAAACACAUUUCUAUUAUAAGCUGAUAUUACCACUCACAAGUAAAGGUUGCUUAAUAAUAUGCAGCAAAAUAUAUAAAAAAUAAGCAUUACUAAUAAACUAAUUAAAAAAAAUUGAAAAAACAAACAUUUUAUAAUUGCAAACAGUUAUAAAAAUUUAGCACAACGCAUUAUCACAACUGGUAAUAGUCUAAUGGAUAACAUUUACAAUUACCCAAACAUUUUAAUAGUCAUCCCCUACCAUUGUAUCUUUUUAGUUUCCUGGUGCUACUUACACAUGUAUCCUUAGUUGUAUAAUCACACUCUGUACUGCCUGGGGGUUGGGAUGGCAUGUUCCUCCCUUCUCCUUUGUUGUUUUACUUGCAACAAUAAACUAUCAAUCAAUCAAUCAAUCAAUCAAGCAUAUACUGUCUGCUCAGUAUUAAUUUUGCUUUAACCAUUAUUUGAACUGUUUUUUAAAAGUUGGGAAAAUAACUAAAAUCAAUAAUUUCACUUGCUAGACUGUAGCAUGUGGCAACCCAAAGGUCAAUCUUUGCACUUAUAUCGGGCCAACCUGCAUAAUGGUUUGCUUUUGAGACUGUGAUA